UACGUAGGGGGCUAGCGUUAUCCGGAAUUACUGGGCGUAAAGGGUGCGUAGGUGGUUUCUUAAGUCAGAGGUGAAAGGCUACGGCUCAACCGUAGUAAGCCUUUGAAACUGGGGAACUUGAGUGCAGGAGAGGAGAGUGGAAUUCCUAGUGUAGCGGUGAAAUGCGUAGAUAUUAGGAGGAACGCCAGUUGCGAAGGCGGCUCUCUGGACUGUAACUGACACUGAGGCACGAAAGCGUGGGGAGCAAACAGG
rnacentral:rRNA from 1 species